UUGCCCUAGUAACGGCGAGUGAAGCGGCAACAGCUCAAAUUUGAAAUCUGGCUUCGGCCCGAGUUGUAAUUUGCAGAGGAAGCUUUGGGCGCGGCACCGACUGAGUCCCCUGGAACGGGGCGCCAUAGAGGGUGAGAGCCCCGUAUAGUCGGACGCUAAGCCUGUGUAAAGCUCCUUCGACGAGUCGAGUAGUUUGGGAAUGCUGCUCAAAAUGGGAGGUAAAUUUCUUCUAAAGCUAAAUACCGGCCAGAGACCGAUAGCGCACAAGUAGAGUGAUCGAAAGAUGAAAAGCACUUUGAAAAGAGGGUUAAAUAGCACGUGAAAUUGUUGAAAGGGAAGCGCUUGUGACCAGACUUGCGCCUGGCUGAUCAUCCGGUGUUCUCACCGGUGCACUCUGCCAGGCUCAGGCCAGCAUCGGUUCUCGCGGGGGGAUAAAGGCCCUGGGAACGUAGCUCCUCCGGGAGUGUUAUAGCCCAGGGUGCAAUGCCCUCGCGGGGACCGAGGUUCGCGCAUCUGCAAGGAUGCUGGCGUAAUGGUCAUCAGCGACCCGUCUUGAAACACGGACCAAGGAGUCAAGGUUUUGCGCGAGUGUUUGGGUGUAAAACCCGCACGCGUAAUGAAAGUGAACGUAGGUGAGAGCUUCGGCGCAUCAUCGACCGAUCCUGAUGUUUUCGGAUGGAUUUGAGUAGGAGCGUUAAGCCUUGGACCCGAAAGAUGGUGAACUAUGCUUGGAUAGGGUGAAGCCAGAGGAAACUCUGGUGGAGGCUCGCAGCGGUUCUGACGUGCAAAUCGAUCGUCAAAUCUGAGCAUGGGGGGCGAAAGACUAAUCGAACCAUCUAGUAGCUGGUUACCGCCGAAG
rnacentral:rRNA from 1 species